GCUGGCGGCGGCCUAACACAUGCAAGUCGAGCGCCCCACUUGUGGGGAGCGGCGGACGGGUUAGUAACGCGUGGGAACGUGCCCUUUUCUGCGGAAUAGCCUCUGGAAACGGAGAGUAAUACCGCAUACGCCCUUUUGGGGAAAGAUUUAUCGGAGAAGGAUCGGCCCGCGUUAGAUUAGGUAGUUGGUGGGGUAAUGGCCUACCAAGCCUACGAUCUAUAGCUGGUUUGAGAGGAUGAUCAGCAACACUGGGACUGAGACACGGCCCAGACUCCUACGGGAGGCAGCAGUGGGGAAUCUUAGACAAUGGGGGCAACCCUGAUCUAGCCAUGCCGCGUGAGUGAAGAAGGCCCUAGGGUCGUAAAGCUCUUUCGCCUGUGAUGAUAAUGACAGUAGCAGGUAAAGAAACCCCGGCUAACUCCGUGCCAGCAGCCGCGGUAAUACGGAGGGGGUUAGCGUUGUUCGGAAUUACUGGGCGUAAAGCGCACGUAGGCGGACUAAUCAGUCAGGGGUGAAAUCCCGGGGCUCAACCCCGGAACUGCCUUUGAUACUGUUAGUCUUGAGUUCGAGAGA
rnacentral:rRNA from 1 species